UGUAGCACAUUGUCUAGCUUACAACGACGGGAAAGAGGCAUUGUUUAUGUUUUUACAACGUAUAUCCCAUGAGUUAUUGAUGCCGGAAGUCUGAAUCUGUGAAAAUCUUGCCAACUUUACCUAAAUCCUCGGGUCUCCGGUGUCUAGACUAGCGGCGGUAGCGCUGAGCUACAGGACAUCUGAACACCUCAGGGCAAUGAGGGACGUCUACGUGGAUCAUGUGACCGACCGAGGGUCUGAUCGUGACGAAUCUGCGGACCAAACGUCUGGAGACGACAACUAUCGCCAGUUAACCUGAUCACCAGUUAAACUGGAAAACCGUCUCACUGUACUGCACACUACGUCGUAAGAUUGAGACAAGAAACUUGGAAUGACUUUUCAUAGGUUUCCCAGAGACUAUGAGUUGAGGAGGAAUUGGAAGUUUGUCGGCUUAGACCUGGUGUCAUUCCAUCAGUGUUUAACUUCCCGGCUCAUCUUGGAAGAGAACGUGCCAGAAAGACCACGACCAAGCAGCCUUGAGAUCUUAGGCAGCGUCUCCCUCAGGUUCCUCUCUAUCUCCCCACACAUCCACCAACCACUGGAACACAUCUCCAAAGUUCUGCCGGGCCAGCUCAGCUUCCCCUCAGAAGAAGUGCUGCCACCUGCCAGAUGAAGGAGCCUUUUGAGAGGCAGCUGGCAUCGUGAUUGGACUGUACGUUGGUCUGUUCCAAUCCAGCUUCAGCUCCAGAGACGGCAGGCGGGACGAGUCAACGGAGGACGGGUGGACGAAGGCAUGCAGCUGAGUACAAUCCAGAAAACAACAGAGGAGGAGUGCAGCAGCCCAGAGCCAGAACAAGCAGAGUAGCAUCGUAUGUCUCUUAGAAAACAUCAUAGUGUAGCCUUUGGUAUGAAAAAACACCAUAAUCUACAUCAUAUAUUGUACAAAUAACAAGUCAAAGCAAAGAGACAUACAUUGUAGAAUUGUAGUAAUUGUGGGCUGACUGAUUUACUGAUUAUCGGUAUUUUAUUUUUUACUGAUUUACGGUAAUAAAUACAUUUAAAACUGG